rnacentral:misc_RNA from 1 species
GAUGAAGAACGUAGUGAAAUGCGAUAAGUAAUGUGAAUUGCAGAAUUCAGUGAAUCAUCGAAUCUUUGAACGCACAUUGCGCCCGCCAGUAUUCUGGCGGGCAUGCCUGUCUGAGCGUCAUUUCAACCCUCAAGCAACUUCUGCUUGGUGUUGGGGAUCGGCCGUCAAACGCCGCCCCCGAAAUCUAUUGGCGAUCUCGCUGUAGCCUCCUAUGCGUAGUAGUAACAUCUCGCAUCUGGAGAGCGGCGCGGUCAUGCCGUAAAACACCCAACUUCUCAGGUUGACCUCAGAUCAGGUAGGAAUACCCGCUGAACUUAAGCAUAUCAAUAAGCGGAGGA